rnacentral:tRNA from 2 species
GGGUCUGUAGCGCAGUUGGUAGCGCGCCUCGUUCGCAUCGAGGAGGUCAGGGGUUCGAUUCCCCUCAGAUCCA